AGGAUAUCCUCGCUUCUCAUUCUAUCCUAAUGUCAAUUCUGGAGUAUUUGCCAGAUGAUUAUAUGUUUUCUGGAUUAUCUAUACAUUGGACAUGAAUCUUUUUCUCUUCUCUUCAAAGAAGAGAACUUUUUGGUCACUAGGUGCAGUGUCUCUCAUUUGGGAGUUAGGCUGAGGGAGGGUUUAUUUCCUUGGGAAUAUUUCUUGAUUUUAAUAUUAAAUGCCCACAAUACAGAGAUUUAUUUUGUUCUCUUCGAUGGGAUGGAAAAUGUUGAAGUGACUUUGUCUUAAAAUAAUUAAGUGGAUUUUAACCAUGUUACUUUUAAACUUCUGUUUCACUUUAGAGAAGAUUUUUCAAGAGUCUUUGAACACUUUGAACUAUUCUGUGUUUAACAUAUCGUUACUCCUCUUUAAAUAAUUAUGCCUGUUGAGAAUGUUCUCUCAAAGAAAGUACUGCAGUAUUUUGGUAGUAGUAUAGUCUGGUGUUGCAUUAAUAUUAAACAUGCAUACUCCGCAGACUACAAUGUUAAUAAGCCGUCGAAUAUUUCCUUUAAUGUUUUAAAUUGUUCAAAGCAUUGGUGUAACAUUGAUGGAGUAAUUUUAGAUGGAGCAUUUUAACUUAGGUAAUACAGAAGAAACAUUGCAAAUUUUAGACAAGUAUAACUGAAAACAGUAAUACCUGAAGACAUCCUUUCUGAAAAUGGUGUGUCUGUUAACAAUAAGGCAGAAAAGGUAUUGUGGGCAGAAGAACAAAUCUUAGCCUACCUAGCUGGCAUGCCAGUUAAAGGCAGUGAGCCUUCACACAAACUAUGUGGUCCUUUAAAUUAUGAUAAAAAUAGAGACAGGUCACUUCACAUAGUUCAUUCUAUUUUCUUUUCAAUUUAUUAUUACUUGCCCAAAGCUAAGGAGGGAGAGAGAGAGCAAGACAGAGAGAGAGUGUGUGUGUGUGUGUGUGUGUGUGUAUCACUAUACACUAGGCUUGACAUAAAAGUAGUUUGGGACCAUCUUAAUUUAAAGAGUAACAUAAUUUAAGAAGCCAUCAUGUCAACUCAUUUUUCAUGUAUGUGUAUAUACACAUACACACAUUCAUAUAUAUGUACGUAUCUAUGUACACAUGUAUGUGUGUGUAUAUAUGAUAUAUUUGAAGGAAAAUUUUUCUUUUAUUUCUUUUGUUUGUUUUAGGUUGUUUGCUUUUACUCUUUUCUUUUGUGCAUGAGUGUGUCUUUGGAUAUGUUUCUUACUAUUAUUUGUGAAGGUUCCAUUAAACACUUUUACUUUAUUACCUCUAGAAUUUAUUUUUCCCUUCCUUUUCCACCUCAGCCACCAGUGGUAAAAACAGAGAUGGUAACAAUUUCUGAUGCCUCACAAAGGACAGAAAUCUCCACCAAGGAAGUCCCCAUUGUCCAAACUGAGACCAAAACCAUCACAUAUGAGUCUCCACAGAUUGAUGGCGGGGCUGGUGGUGAUUCGGGCACGUUACUGACUGCACAAACCAUCACAUCUGAGUCCGUGUCAACAACGACAACCACACACAUCACCAAGACUGUAAAAGGUGGAAUUUCUGAAACAAGAAUUGAGAAACGCAUUGUGAUCACAGGAGAUGGAGAUAUUGAUCAUGACCAGGCACUGGCUCAGGCGAUCAGGGAAGCCAGAGAGCAGCACCCUGACAUGUCGGUCACAAGAGUGGUGGUACACAAAGAAACAGAGUUGGCUGAGGAAGGGGAAGAUUAAGUAAGAAAGUCAUUUUUUAAACAACACUCAACUUUGUGAACCCCUGAAGAUUUUUUGACCGUUCCAAGUCUUAAUGCCACACCACUAUUCCAGCGAAUUUAUGCUACAACUGGUAACAAUGACCAGAAGCCUGAAGAAUUAAAAUGCCAACACCAAACCUUUCCUUACCAGCUCUGGUCUAUAUUGCUCCCAUGCAUUUAAUAUAUUAUUUUGUUUUAUAACCACUUCUAAAUAUUCUUGGCUCUUUCUUUUUGUUGUUGUUAAUUAAGGGGUUUUGCUUUUGUUUUCUGUUUACUUUGUGUGCAACUACCUGCUUUUAAUGACUCACUUUGAUCAAAUGACAGUGAACAAAUCCAGCCCAAGCUGGUAAGGUGCUGUUCACUUGAACAGGUGCUGUUGUGCAGAAAGGAAACUCUGUGACUAAUUUAGAUAGUGGCUUUCCUUCUUCUGGAUUCUUUUCCUUGAAUUCUCACAGUAAAUAUUUACGGAGUUUUCAUAUUGCAGCAAAUAUACUGUAUGAGAAAAUAUUAAUACAGAUUAAAAGCAUUUCUUACAUCUUGAAAAUUUUCUAAUAUUUGAGAAUUUCACAGGGAUGUUUUUUAUAUUGGACCCUUUUGACUUUCCAGUCCUGUGACUUUCUACUUUUAGUAGAGAGUCGGAAUCUCUGGACUGGAGAAUUAUGAAGAAGUUCACUGACUAUGCACUGUGCUUAGAGACCCUGCCGCACCACAGUGCCAAUGCUUGUCAGACACAUGCCCUUCGGCAGCAUUCCAGAACAGGAGGGAAGAGAAAGAGAAAACUUUCUUCCCUUCUACUAAAAGAUUCAGGCAGCUUAAAACCUUAGUGCUUUCUUUCUUAACAUACCCAAAUUUCAAUUCUUUCCAUUAUUUGAACACUUGGGUGUAGAACUCUUGCUUUGUAUUAAACCUCCUUGUCUACACAUGUAAAACUGACCUUUUGUUAUUGAGCAGGCCUAUCUCUUUCAGAUAGUUUUAUGAUUCACACAGGUUUGAGGACGCUGGGGAGAGGGGGAGGGGGCUGUGGUGGUGUUCUGUUGGUUACAGGAAAGUUAUACCAUUUAAAGCUGGCACCAGAGACCUGAUAGGGACUUAUUAACUAUAUUGAACAUUUUUUCCUUUGCCUUUGACCCUAUGUAUAGUUACGAUGCCAGAUUAGAUUUAUAGCAGCUUCAAGUUGUAUUAAAUGAUAUUUUGCUUCCUGUAAUACUGUUAUAAAAUAAAGUUUGUUUAUUCUCUAAA
rnacentral:sRNA from 1 species